ensembl:misc_RNA 7SK 7SK RNA
GGAUGUGAGGGCAAUCUGGCUGCGACAUUUGUCACCCCAUUGACCGCCAGGGUUGAUACGGCUGAUCUGGCUGGCUAGGCCGGUGUCCCCUUCCUCCCUCACCGCUCCACGUGCGUCCCUCCCAAAGCUGCGUGCUCUGUCAAAGAGGACGAUCAUCCCUGAUAGAGGAGAACCAGUCUUUGGUCAAGGGUACACGAGUAGCUGUGCUCCCCUGCUAGAACCUUCAAACAAGCUCUCAAGGUCCAUGUCCCUGCGAAGGAAAUGAACUCAUCCUUUUUUAUGGCUGCAUAGUAUUCCAUGGUCUAUAUGUGCCACAU